GAUGAACGCUGGCGGCGUGCUUAACACAUGCAAGUCGAACGGAAAGGCUCCUGCUUGCAGGGGUACUCGAGUGGCGAACGGGUGAGUAACACGUGGGUGAUCUGCCCUGCACUUCGGGAUAAGCCUGGGAAACUGGGUCUAAUACCGGAUAGGACGAUGGUUUGGAUGCCAUUGUGGAAAGUUUUUUCGGUGUGGGAUGAGCUCGCGGCCUAUCAGCUUGUUGGUGGGGUAAUGGCCUACCAAGGCGUCGACGGGUAGCCGGCCUGAGAGGGUGUACGGCCACAUUGGGACUGAGAUACGGCCCAGACUCCUACGGGAGGCAGCAGUGGGGAAUAUUGCACAAUGGACGCAAGCCUGAUGCAGCGACGCCGCGUGGGGGAUGACGGCCUUCGGGUUGUAAACUCCUUUCGCUAGGGACGAAGCGCAAGUGACGGUACCUGGAGAAGAAGCACCGGCUAACUACGUG
rnacentral:rRNA from 1 species